GCAGUGGUGGUUCCAUGGUGGAAUUCUUGCUUUCCAUGCAGAAGAUCCAGGUUUGAUUCCCGGCCAAUGUA
rnacentral:tRNA from 1 species